rnacentral:tRNA from 1 species
GCCGGAGUAGCUCAGUUGGUCAGAGCGCCAGUUUUGUAAACUGGAUGCCAGGGGUUCGAAUCCCCUCUCCGGCU